rnacentral:rRNA from 1 species
AUACGGAGGAUGCGAGCGUUAUCCGGAUUUAUUGGGUUUAAAGGGUGCGUAGGCUGUGCGUUAAGUCAGGGGUGAAAUGCCGUCGCUCAACGACGGAGCUGCCCUUGACACUGGCGUGCUGGAGUACGGAUGCCGUUGGAGGAAUGAGUGGUGUAGCGGUGAAAUGCUUAGAUAUCACUCAGAACACCGAUUGCGAAGGCAUCUGACGAAUCCGUCACUGACGCUGAGGCACGAAAGCGUGGGGAUAGAACAGGAUUAGAUACCCUGGUAUUCCACGCCGUAAACGAUGAUGACUAACCGUCGGCGAUAGACAGCCGGUGGCCAAGCGAAAGCGAUAAGUCAUCCACCUGGGGAGUACGUCGGCAACGAUGAAACUCAAAGGAAUUGACGGGG